AAUCAACGCUGGCGGCGUGCCUAACACAUGCAAGUCUCAGGAGAAAGGGGUAGCAAUAUCCCGAGUAAACUGGCGCAAGGGUGAGUAACACGUAGGCAACCUGCCCUCAGGACGGGAACAACUCCGGGAAACCGGGGCUAAUACCCGAUGAUAUCCUGUCACAGCAUUGUGACAGGAUCAAAUCCCCGCAAGGGGGCCUGUGGAUGGGCCUGCGUCCCAUUAGGUAGUUGGCGGGGUAAUGGCCCACCAAGCCGACGAUGGGUAGCUGGUCUGAGAGGACGAUCAGCCACACUGGAACUGAGACACGGUCCAGACUCCUACGGGAGGCAGCAGUGAGGAAUAUUGCGCAAUG
rnacentral:rRNA from 1 species